CAACCUGACCUCCAGGACCACCAGCUACAAAGGCUUGUGCUUUCUGUAACAUAAGCUAUACACCUAGAAAACCAUCAUGUCUCCAAAGUACUAGAGAGACCAGAAUAUUGUGAUCCAGAUGAUAAAAAAUUCUCACGUGCCUGUCUUCCUCACCUGGAAAUACUUGGAGACGAAUGGCUGAGCUGGUCGGCUGAGGUUGUGUGCCUUUCACCUACAGACACUACGCUCAAAGCAGGUGCUACAAAUGUUCUAGAUGUCUAACCAAGGACUACAAAA